GUGUCAGCCGCCGCGGUAAUACGAAGGUGGCGAGCGUUGUUCGGAUUCACUGGGCAUAAAGGGCGCGUAGGCGGUGCCGCAAGCGGCGUGUGAAAUCCCGGGGCUCAACCCCGGAACGGCGCGCUGGACUGCGGUGCUCGAGUGCGGGAGGGGGGUGCGGAACUCUAGGUGGAGCGGUGAAAUGCGUAGAUAUCUAGAGGAACACCGGUGGCGAAAGCGACACCCUGGCCCGCAACUGACGCUGAGGCGCGAAAGCGUGGGUAGCAAACAGGAUUAGAUACCCUGGUAGUCCACGCCGUAAACGAUGAGCACUAGGUAGCCGUCGGAUCCGACCGGGGGCUGCUGAAGGAAAUCCAUUAAGUGCUCCGCCUGGGGAGUAUGGUCGCAAGGCUGAA
rnacentral:rRNA from 1 species